CUACGGGUCGCUGCAGUGAGGAAUAUUGCACAAUGGGGGGAACCCUGAUGCAGCAACGCCGCGUGGAGGAUGACGCAUUUCGGUGUGUAAACUCCUUUUAUAUGUCAAGAAAAUGACGGUAGCAUAUGAAUAAGCACCGGCUAACUCCGUGCCAGCAGCCGCGGUAAUACGGAGGGUGCAAGCGUUACUCGGAAUCACUGGGCGUAAAGGACGCGUAGGCGGGUUGGAAAGUCAGGUGUGAAAUCCUACAGCUUAACUGUAGAACUGCACUUGAAACUUCUAAUCUAGAGUAUGGGAGGGGGAGAUUGAAUUAGUGGUGUAGGGGUAAAAUCCGUAGAUAUCGCUAGGAAUACCUAAAGCGAAGGCGAUCUCCUGGAACAUUACUGACGCUAAGGCGUGAAAGCGUGGGGAGCAAACAGGAUUAGAUACCCCGGUAGUC
rnacentral:rRNA from 1 species